UGGCUCCUUCCCCAUUUUACCUUCACAACAACUCUAUGAGAUUAGCUUAGGCUGAGAAGUAGCGACUGGCUCAUGGUUUACCCAGUGAACUUCAUGACUGAGAGAACUGAAACAGCUCACAUCAAUGAGACACAGGUCCUGCUGUCAUGAGGCCUACAGACUAAAAGAAGACAAGACAAGACUCGGUGCAGCACUAUGAUAACCAGUGCUGACUGGUGGAAGGAAAGAAAUGUGUGUGAGGACUCUAAGCACAGCAAUCGGCAAAUGG